rnacentral:rRNA from 1 species
GACGAACGCUGGCGGCGUGCUUAACACAUGCAAGUCGAACGAUGAAGCUGGAGCUUGCUCCGGUGGAUUAGUGGCGAACGGGUGAGUAACACGUGAGCAAUCUGCCCUUGACUCUGGGAUAACUGCGGGAAACUGUAGCUAAUACCGGAUACGAGGCUCGAAGGCAUCUUCGGGUCUGGAAAGAAUUUCGGUCAAGGAUGAGCUCGCGGCCUAUCAGCUUGUUGGUGAGGGAAUGGCUCACCAAGGCGACGACGGGUAGCCGGCCUGGGAGGGUGACCGGCUACACUGGGACUGAGACACGGCCCAGCAACCUACGGGAGGCAGCAGUGGGGAAUCAAACACAAUGGGCGAAAGCCUGAUGCAGCAACGCCGCGUGAGGAAGAAAAGAAGUCGGGUUGUAAACCGAGGGGAGAAGGGAAGAAGCGAAAGUGACGGUACCUGCAGAAAAAGCACCGGCUAACUACGUGCCAGCCGCCGCAGUAA